GUAAAAUUUGCCGAGUUCCUUCUUUUUCUUUUAAUCUUUCCAUUAAUGUUCUGGUGUAAGGUUAACGUUUUUAUUUGUAGGGUUUUCUUGAUUGGUUGCUAAAUGGGGUUCAAUUUCGUUAAUUGCCAUUAGUUUGUCAGAUGUGGCUUAGACUUACAUUUUGGAGAAAAACUAUUUCUUGUUACUAGUUCUAGCAUUAUAUUUUCCAUAUUUUUAUGGAAUUACUCAAUAUUGUUAAAGGGUUUAAAAUAAUGUAGGAAAUUUAAGAAAUAAAAUGUUAAGCUUUAACGCUUUUAUUUAAGAUGGCUGCUUUUAGGCCCACAAAUCAUUUUGUUUUAUUGUGUUACCCUGUAGUAUAGGUUGUAUCCUGUUUCAAAUAAGCUGUGCCUUAUUUGAAUAGCUUUUAAGUUUAAUAGGGGUUUAGUGUAACUAAGAAAAACUUAAAGUUGAACUAACAUUCUUUUCUUGAGUAACCAGCUAUCUCUAGGUGCGAUAGGUUUGUCGCCUCUACUUGGAAAUCUUCCCACUCUAUUGCAACAGAGAUGGGUUAGCUCUUAAAGUUGUUUCGAAGUAGCUCACUUAGUUUCGGGGGGUUAAACUUUAAAUUCGUUUUGCUUAAUUAGACUGGCUAGACCAU
rnacentral:rRNA from 1 species